rnacentral:lncRNA from 1 species
GGGAGGCUAGGAUGGACCCGAUGGUCAUGUCAAGGCAAGUUGCUGGUAGAGUUUGGGUCUUCACUACACCCCACUAUAGCCACCAUACUAUUGGAUUUUAGCCAUGUAGUGGAAAGUAAUUUUUAAAAUAUUUUAAAACACUCAAAUCAAUAGUUUUAUCAAAUAAAACUAUCAAGCCGAAUCCAAAAUCCUAGAAUCACCUUGCCAAACACGAUCAAAGCAAAUUUAAGCAUGCAAAGAGAUAGAAUAUUAUACUUUAACUAAAAUAAAAAAGUGGCAUAUUGGUGUUGUCCACAAGACCCCAAGGUAGAAGUCCUCCAAUGGAGAUCUACAUGAAAGUUGGCCA